GCCGACGUCCAUGUACUGUUGUGCCCGUGCAGAGGUAGUUGUUUGUACAGUUUGAGGGUUUGUGACACCACCCGGUUGAUGGAGAUAACUGUACAAGCCACUGCCUUGCCUGGGCCAGCGACCAACAUCACCAAGAAGG
rnacentral:precursor_RNA from 17 species